rnacentral:rRNA from 1 species
GAUGAACGCUGGCGGCGUGCCUCAUAUAUGCAAGUCAAACGCGCAGCGAAAGGUGCUUGCACCUUUCAAGUGAGUGGCGAACGGGUGAGUAACACGUGAAUAACCUGCCUCAAGGCUGGGGAUAACAUUUGGAAACAAAUGCUAAUACCGAAUAAAACUUAGUAUCGCAUGAUAUCAAGUUAAAAGGCGCUACGGCGUCACCUAAAGAUGGAUCCGCGGUGCAUUAUUUAGUUGGGGGGGUAAAGGCUUACCAAGACAAUGAUGCAUAGCCAAGUUGAAAGACUGAUCGGCCACAUUGGGACUGAAACACGGCCCAAACUCCUACGGGAGGUUGCAGUAGGGAAUCUUCCACAAUGGGCGCAGGCCUGAUGGAGCACCGCCGCGUGUGUGAUGAAGGCUUUCGGGUCGAAAAGCACUGUUGUAUGGAAAAAAAUGCUAAAAUAGGGAAUGAUUUUA